AGAGUUUGAUCAUGGCUCAGAUUGAACGCUGGCGGCAGGCCUAACACAUGCAAGUCGAGCGGUAGCACAGAGAGCUUGCUCUCGGGUGACGAGCGGCGGACGGGUGAGUAAUGUCUGGGAAACUGCCUGAUGGAGGGGGAUAACUACUGGAAACGGUAGCUAAUACCGCAUAACGUCGCAAGACCAAAGUGGGGGACCUUCGGGCCUCAUGCCAUCAGAUGUGCCCAGAUGGGAUUAGCUAGUAGGUGGGGUAACGGCUCACCUAGGCGACGAUCCCUAGCUGGUCUGAGAGGAUGACCAGCCACACUGGAACUGAGACACGGUCCAGACUCCUACGGGAGGCAGCAGUGGGGAAUAUUGCACAAUGGGCGCAAGCCUGAUGCAGCCAUGCCGCGUGUGUGAAGAAGGCCUUCGGGUUGUAAAGCACUUUCAGCGGGGAGGAAGGCGAUAAGGUUAAUAACCUUGGCGAUUGACGUUACCCGCAGAAGAAGCACCGGCUAACUCCGUGCCAGCAGCCGCGGUAAUACGGAGGGUGCAAGCGUUAAUCGGAAUUACUGGGCGUAAAGCGCACGCAGGCGGUCUGUCAAGUCGGAUGUGAAAUCCCCGGGCUCAACCUGGGAACUGCAUUCGAAACUGGCAGGCUAGAGUCUUGUAGAGGGGGGUAGAAUUCCAGGUGUAGCGGUGAAAUGCGUAGAGAUCUGGAGGAAUACCGGUGGCGAAGGCGGCCCCCUGGACAAAGACUGACGCUCAGGUGCGAAAGCGUGGGGAGCAAACAGGAUUAGAUACCCUGGUAGUCCACGCCGUAAACGAUGUCGAUUUGGAGGUUGUGCCCUUGAGGCGUGGCUUCCGGAGCUAACGCGUUAAAUCGACCGCCUGGGGAGUACGGCCGCAAGGUUAAAACUCAAAUGAAUUGACGGGGGCCCGCACAAGCGGUGGAGCAUGUGGUUUAAUUCGAUGCAACGCGAAGAACCUUACCUGGUCUUGACAUCCACAGAACUUUCCAGAGAUGGAUUGGUGCCUUCGGGAACUGUGAGACAGGUGCUGCAUGGCUGUCGUCAGCUCGUGUUGUGAAAUGUUGGGUUAAGUCCCGCAACGAGCGCAACCCUUAUCCUUUGUUGCCAGCGGUUAGGCCGGGAACUCAAAGGAGACUGCCAGUGAUAAACUGGAGGAAGGUGGGGAUGACGUCAAGUCAUCAUGGCCCUUACGACCAGGGCUACACACGUGCUACAAUGGCAUAUACAAAGAGAAGCGACCUCGCGAGAGCAAGCGGACCUCAUAAAGUAUGUCGUAGUCCGGAUUGGAGUCUGCAACUCGACUCCAUGAAGUCGGAAUCGCUAGUAAUCGUAGAUCAGAAUGCUACGGUGAAUACGUUCCCGCAGCUUGUACACACCGCCCGUCACACCAUGGGAGUGGGUUGCAAAAGAAGUAGGUAGCUUAACCUUCGGGAGGGCGCUUACCACUUUGUGAUUCAUGACUGGGGUGAAGUCGUAACAAGGUAACCGUAGGGGAACCUGCGGUUGGAUCACCU
rnacentral:rRNA from 1 species